rnacentral:rRNA from 1 species
CCAGACUCCUACGGGAGGCAGCAGUGAGGAAUAUUGGUCAAUGGGCGGGAGCCUGAACCAGCCAAGUCGCGUGAGGGAAGACGGUCCUACGGAUUGUAAACCUCUUUUGCCGGGGAGCAACGGGGUCCUUGCGAGGGCCCGAUGAGAGUACCCGGAGAAAAAGCAUCGGCUAACUCCGUGCCAGCAGCCGCGGUAAUACGGAGGAUGCGAGCGUUAUCCGGAUUUAUUGGGUUUAAAGGGUGCGUAGGCGGACGCUUAAGUCAGCGGUAAAAUUGCGGGGCUCAACCUCGUCGAGCCGUUGAAACUGGGUGCCUUGAGUGGGCGAGAAGUACGCGGAAUGCGUGGUGUAGCGGUGAAAUGCAUAGAUAUCACGCAGAACUCCGAUUGCGAAGGCAGCGUACCGGCGCCCAACUGACGCUGAAGCACGAAGGCGUGGGUAUCGAACAGGAUUAGAUACCCUUGUA